AGUUGAGGUGGCAGAAAAAAUGCGGCUGGUUUAGGUCCAGUUUAUGGGUCCGGAGCCCCCUCAGUUU
rnacentral:tRNA from 1 species